UAGGGUAGCCGUAGGGAAACCGAGUCUUAACUGGGCGAUUAGUUGCAAGGUAUAGACCCGAAACCCGGUGAUCUAGCCAUGGGCAGGUUGAAGGUUGAGUAACAUCAACUGGAGGACCGAACCCACUAACGUUGAAAAGUUAGGGGAUGACCUGUGGCUAGGAGUGAAAGGCUAAUCAAACCGGGAGAUAGCUGGUUCUCCCCGAAAUCUAUUUAGGUAGAGCCUCGGACGAAUACUUACGGGGGUAGAGCACUGUUAAGGCUAGGGGGUCAUCCCGACUUACCAACCCUUUGCAAACUCCGAAUACCGUAAAGUAAUAUCCGGGAGACACACGGCGGGUGCUAACGUCCGUCGUGAAGAGGGAAACAACCCAGACCGCCAGCUAAGGUCCCAAAGUCAUAGUUAAGUGGGAAACGAUGUGGAAAGGCCCAGACAGCCAGGAGGUUGGCUUAGAAGCAGCCAUCCUUUAAAGAAAGCGUAAUAGCUCACUGGUCGAGUCGGUCUGCGCGGAAGAUGUAACGGGGCUAAACUAUGCACCGAAGCUGCGGAUUCA
rnacentral:rRNA from 1 species